AACACUUUGACAACACACCCUCUCUCCUGACCUCUCCUCUACGGACCUUUUCCGAACGAAUCUUCCCAUCUAAGCUGCUGCUCCUCUCUCCAUCCGCUCUCCUCCGCCGCAAGCCUUGCGCCCCCGCCACCGCAUCACAUCACUCUCUAGUCGGAGGCUGCAGCCGUAGACGAGGCGGCGCGGGAGCUGCGGGAGGCGGCCGCCACCCUCGUCGCCCCACAUGCCGCGGAAGACGGCAGGGGUCGCCUCCGCACCGUGGUGCUCGACGCCGACGUCCGCGCCUACAAGGGCCGCUCCCUACCCUCGGCUCGUUCACGGUCGACGAGGUCAUCCACGCAUGUUCUUCCGGAUUGACACCUUGCACCAUUUAAGCUCUAUCCUUGUGAUGUGUUUCUUUGCAGUGGGCAUCAGCUAAAUCUGUCAUUUGUACUUCUGUAGAUUGAGGAGGAAUUGAUGCGUGCCAGGUUAGGCAUUACAGAUAGUGAUGGGGCUUCGUUCUCCCUCAGAUCACAAUACUGUCUGUUUCAGUUUUUUUUUUUUGUACCUCUGUAGUGAUAACUUAUGGAUUCUAAUGAUUGUGCAAACUAGCUUAAAAUCUUAAUUUUCUGAGCAUUAUGAUAGAGAGUCAUACACAAUGCCACCUUUAAUAUGGAACUGGUUACAAAAUUUUGAGAGCAAGUGAAAUCAUCUGGGCAAACAUGGCAAAUUCAGAAAGCGUUCCCGUGAAACAUAUAGCCUGUUUUCUAUGAUACAUUUAUGUUUUGUAAACCGGUAAUUACUACGAAAGCACAUUUUUUUCCUUGGUGCUUGUUCGUCAGAUAUGUUUGCUAAGCAAAUGUGUUGCUUCAUCCUGUGUGUUCUCUGUAUAUGAACAUACUAUAUGCUUUUCAUAUAUAUGGAGCUGCAAACUUACAAUGCUUUCCAUGUCUUUUCAGUUCUAGAAUGGAGUGAAUUAAGGUGGCAGCGGCAAGUGAGAGCACUAACAAGUUGAAUCAUAGCUAACUAACUACUUUAGGUUCAGUGGAGGAGAUCAUUGAUGCAUAUUCUUUUGAAUAUCAGGUUAAGGAAGCACACUGCAGCUCCAUAGUGCCAUGAAGAAACAGAUCACUGCUGGUUACUUUCAUCCUGGUUUUACUAAAGCAAGUUGCUACUGCAAAUUUUCCAGUACCAUGAGAUGGUUUUAUACGGUCAAGUCAAGAAGCAUAAUCGGAUGUGCUGGCCAAGCAUCUAAGUACUAACAUAUAUUCUAGAUCUGUCAUAUAUACUCGUGAAACUCAAACCAAGCAGCACACUGAAGCUGUACAUUGCCAAUGAAGAGAGGUGAAACUACAAUUGACAGGUGCAUGAGUGUAAAAUUUUCCUUGGUACUGCAUGAAGCAAAGCUCUAACAUCUUCAUCCUUUUUAUCGAAAGGAUAUAUACACAAUUCAUGACUCGCGUAGAUUCUGGUUGAACAACUCUAACUAUUUGUUGAAUUAUCAUGUGACCAUUAAUUAUAGUACCGUGAACUCUAAAUAUGAUGGCUUCAAUCUUUCAUACAA